CCUACGGGAGGCAGCAGUGAGGAAUCUUGGUCAAUGGCCGGAAGGCUGAACCAGCCAAGUCGCGUGAGGGACGACUGCCCUAUGGGUUGUAACCCUCUUUUAUAAAGGGAGAAUAAAUGCUACGUGUAGCAUGAUGCCUGUACCUUAUGAAUAAGCACAGGCUAACUCCGUGCCAGCAGCCGCGGUAAUCCGGAGGAUGCGAGAGUUAUCCGGAUUUAUUGGGUUUAAAGGGUGCGUAGGCGGUUUUUUAAGUUAGUGGUUAAACGUCGGGGCUUCACCUUGAUUUGCCAGUAAUACUGUAAGCCUUGAGUUCAGAGAAGGUAGGCGGAAUAAGUUAAGUAGCGGUGAAAUGCUUAGAGAUCACUUAGAACUCCGAUAGCGAAGGCAGCAUACCAGACUGCGACUGACGCUGAAGCACGAGAGCGUGGGUAGCGAACAGGAUUAGAUACCCUGGUAGUC
rnacentral:rRNA from 1 species